rnacentral:rRNA from 1 species
AGCGAACGCUGGCGGCAGGCCUAACACAUGCCAGUCGAACGAACCUUUCGGGGUUAGUGGCGUACGGGUUAGUAACCCGUCGGGACGUGCCCUUAGGGUCGGCAUACCUAAGGGACACUUGUGCUAUUACCGAAUGUGCGCUACUACCGAAAGAUUUAUUGCCCUUAGUGCGGCCCGCGUCUGAUUAGCUCGUUGUGUGAGUUAAUGGCUCAUCCGCGCUACAUUCACUAGCUGGUCUGAGAGGAUGGUCAGCCACAUUGGCAGUGAGACACGGCACAAACUCCUACGGGAGGCAGCAGUGGGGAAUCUUGCGAAAUGGGCGAAAGCCUGACGCAGUCAUGCCGGGUGAAUGAUGAAGGUAGUAGGAUUGUAAAAUUCUUUCACCUGGGACGAUAAUGACGGUACCCGGAGAAGAAGCCCCGGCUAACUUCGUG